rnacentral:rRNA from 1 species
UACGUAGGGUGCGAGCGUUGUCCGGAUUUACUGGGCGUAAAGCGCACGUAGGCGGAUUGUUAAGUCAGGGGUGAAAUCCUGGAGCUCAACUCCAGAACUGCCUUUGAUACUGGCAAUCUUGAGUCCGGAAGAGGUGAGUGGAACUCCUAGUGUAGAGGUGGAAUUCGUAGAUAUUAGGAAGAACACCAGUGGCGAAGGCGGCUCACUGGUCCGGUACUGACGCUGAGGUGCGAAAGCGUGGGGAGCAAACAGGG